rnacentral:rRNA from 1 species
GGCUCAGAACGAACGCUGGCGGCGCGUUUAAGCAUGCAAGUCGAGCGGCAAGGGCCUUCGGGCCCCUAGAGCGGCGGACGGGUGAGUAACACGUGGACAAUCUGCCCCCCGGCCCGGGAUAGCCCAGGGAAACCUGGAUUAAUACCGGAUGAGACGGGACCCGCGAUGGCGGGACCCGGGAAAGGCGCUGCGGCGCCGCCGGGGGAUGAGUCUGCGUCCCAUUAGCUAGACGGCGGGGUAACGGCCCACCGUGGCGACGAUGGGUAGCCGGCCUGAGAGGGUGGACGGCCACAUUGGAACUGAGACACGGUCCAGACUCCUACGGGAGGCAGCAGCUAAGAAUCUUCCGCAAUGGGCGAAAGCCUGACGGAGCCGACGCCGCGUGAACGAAGAAGGCCGUGAGGUUGUAAAGUUCUUUUCGGGAGGGGGAACAACCGUGGCAGGGAAUGGCCGCGGGAUGACGUGAAUCCCGGAAUAAGCCCCGGCUAACUACGUGCCAGCCGCAGC